UACUUGAGCUUAACUUUCAGACUUAGCUUAUCAACUGCUCAUUUAUACUCAUUUUCCAAGUAAGACCUUUAAGAAACUGCAUAGCGAGGUGCAGUUUAGCAAUGCAUUCGUAUAAUUUUUAAAGCGUUAAUCCUUCAAGGUAGUUCAUCGCAAACCGUCCUCCAGGGUCCCCAAAGCGCUGUUUUCACAAGGACUGUGUUCAGAGAUUUUAGUUGGUCGAUUUUCUCUUCGUGAUGAAGAAACACUCUGCUGUUCAGCUACAGUUGCCUUCGUCUCAGUGUUUGUCAAGACCGCUUUUCAGGUGCCCACCUGAGGAUGGGUUUUAGGGGAAAUGUGUGUGUCCGUCAUGAGCUGUUUCGGUCAGACGUGUGAGCUGGUGCAUUGAGAGGACGCCCAGUGAGGUUCUGAAUCAGAAGGGCAGGACACCUUAGAAGGACGGUCUGUUCUGGAAGGUCGACCCAGCGUCUGAGUUGAAGGCGCUCCGGUGGAGGGCCCCGGAGCGGGGGCCCGGGCCUCGCCACAGCCGGGGUCUCCUGGGACCACCCGGAGCUGGGAGCGGCAGGUGCGGUGUGUGCCGCCGGGCCCCUCGGCUGUCCGUGAAUCAGUCUUCUUAAUGGAUCUGGAGGAAUCCUUCCAUGCCAGGGACCCCACGGAGCUUCCCAGGGGCCAGGCACCGAGACGAGAGCUCAUCUGCCCCGACACUCUUCCCCCUCGCCUCCUGUGAGAGCCCCGUGUCCGACGAGAGCCCAGUGGCCUUGGGCUGCCUGGCCCAGGACUUCCUGCCUGGCUCCAUCACCUUCUCCUGGAGCUACACGAACGGCAUCGCGGUCAGCAGCCAGAGCAUCAAGACCUUCCCGUCCGUCCUGCGGGAGGGCAAGUAUGUGGCCACCUCCCAGGUGCUCCUGCCCUCCCAGAGCGUCCUCCAGGGGUCAGAGCUGAUUUGCAAAGUCCAGCACUCCAAGGGGAAUGUUGAUGUGCCUGUGAUUCCCCCAGUGCUGGUAGAUCUGCCCCCCAACGUGACACUCUUCAUGCCCCCCCGAGACGGCUUCUCUGGCACUUCCAAACGCACGUCCAGGCUCAUCUGUCAGGCCACAGACUUCAGCCCCAGGGAGAUCUCCGUGUCCUGGUUUCGUGAGGGCAAGCGGCUGGUGUCUGGCUUCAUUACGGAAGAUGUGGAAGCCUCAAUGUCCAAUCCAGGGACCUUCAGUGUCAACAGCAUGCUGACCAUCACCGAGAGCGACUGGUUCAGCCAGACUGUGUACACCUGCCAGGUGGAGCACAGAGGGAUGGUCAUCGAGAAGAACGUGUCUUCCCAGUGCAACCCCAGUCCGUCCCCCGGCAUCGAGGCCUUCGCCAUUCCCCCCUCCUUCUCCGACAUCUUCCUCAACAAGUCAGCCAAGCUCACCUGCCUGGUCACAGGCCUGGUCACCUACGACAGCCUGAGAAUUUCCUGGACCCGCCAGGGUGAAAAGGCUGUGGAUUCCCAGAUCAUUGACUCCACGAUCCUCCCCAACGGCACCUUCAGCGCCACGUGUGUGGCGUCAGUCUGCGUGGAGGACUGGGAGUCAGGAGACAGGUUCACGUGCACGGUGACCCACCUGGAUCUGCCCUCACCCCUGAAGCGGAGCAUCUUCAAGCCCACAGAAGUGCACAAGCACAUGCCUUCCGUCUACGUGCUGCCGCCGGCCCGGGAGCAGCUGAGCCUGCGGGAGUCAGCCUCCAUCACCUGCCUGGUGAAGGGCUUCUCCCCUCCGGACGUGUUUGUGCAGUGGCUGAAGAAGGGGGAGCAGGAGCCCCUGUCCCCCGACAACUACGUGACCAGUGCCCCAGUGCCCGAGCCCAACAGCCCGGGCUACUACUUUGUCCACAGCGUCCUGACGGUGAGCGAGAAGGACUGGAGUGCCGGGGCGACCUACACCUGCGUCGUGGGCCAUGAGGCCCUGCCCCACUUGGUGACCGAGAGGACCGUGGACAAGUCCACCGAGGGGGAGGUGAGCGCGGAUGAGGAAGGCUUCGAGAACCUGAACACCAUGGCCUCCACCUUCAUCGUCCUCUUCCUCCUGAGCCUCUUCUACAGCACCACCGUCACCCUGUUCAAGGUGAAGUGACCCCCCAAGCAAGGAUGUGGGAGACCAGAGACGGACAAGACAGGUGCCGCCCGGGGGCCUGGGGUCCCCUGCCUGCGUGGCCCAUCCGCAUGUACUCAGACCUUCCCUGUGUCCCUCUCCAGCUUCAAGCGCUAAGAAACUGGCUUCUCCCAACACGGCCAAACGCCGCAGCCAAGCCGGGUGCCCGCAGCCGUAGGCCCAGCCCGGCCCUGCUUUGUGAUGUCGCUCUUGUGGCCUUGAAAUAAAGACGUCUAUUUUAUCUUGUGAAA